UGGCGGACGGGUGAGUAAUGUCUGGGAAACUGCCUGAUGGAGGGGGAUAACUACUGGAAACGGUAGCUAAUACCGCUUAACGUCGCAAGACCAAAGAGGGGGACCUUAGGGCCUCUUGCCAUCGGAUGUGCCCAGAUGGGAUUAGCUAGUAGGUGGGGUAACGGCUCACCUAGGCGACGAUCCCUAGCUGGUCUGAGAGGAUGACCAGCCACACUGGAACUGAGACACGGUCCAG
rnacentral:rRNA from 1 species